CCUACGGGAGGCUGCAGUGGGGAAUCUUGCGCAAUGGGCGAAAGCCUGACGCAGCAACGCCGCGUGUGUGAUGAAGGUCUUCGGAUCGUAAAGCACUGUCGCGAGGGAAGAUACGCUUCCUUCUAAUACAAGGGAGCUAAGACGGUACCUCGAGAGGAAGCACCGGCUAACUCUGUGCCAGCAGCCGCGGUAAUACAGAGGGUGCGAGCGUUGUUCGGAAUUAUUGGGCGUAAAGCGCUUGUAGGCGGCUUGUUAAGUCGCGUGUGAAAUCCCCAGGCUUAACCUGGGAAGUGCGCGCGAAACUGGCGAGCUUGAAUGCCGGAGAGGGUCGCGGAAUUCCCGGUGUAGAGGUGAAAUUCGUAGAUAUCGGGAGGAACACCAGUGGCGAAGGCGGCGACCUGGAC
rnacentral:rRNA from 1 species